rnacentral:rRNA from 1 species
CGCUAGUUUCGGUGGAGCCGUCCUUGAAAUACCACCCUGGUUUGUUUGAGGUUCUAACCUUGGCCCGUGAUCCGGGUCGGGGACAGUGCAUGGUAGGCAGUUUGACUGGGGCGGUCUCCUCCCAAAGCGUAACGGAGGAGUACGAAGGUACGCUAGGUACGGUCGGAAAUCGUGCUGAUAGUGCAAUGGCAUAAGCGUGCUUAACUGCGAGACCGACAAGUCGAGCAGGUGCGAAAGCAGGUCAUAGUGAUCCGGUGGUUCUGUAUGGAAGGGCCAUCGCUCAACGGAUAAAAGGUACUCUGGGGAUAACAGGCUGAUACCGCCCAAGAGUUCAUAUCGACGGCGGUGUUUGGCACCUCGAUGUCGGCUCAUCUCAUCCUGGGGCUGUAGCCGGUCCCAAGGGUAUGGCUGUUCGCCAUUUAAAGAGGUACGUGAGCUGGGUUUAAAACGUCGUGAGACAGUUUGGUCCCUAUCUGCCGUGGGCGUUGGAUAUUUGAAGGGGGCUGCUCCUAGUACGAGAGGACCGGAGUGGACGAACCUCUGGUGUACCGGUUGUCACGCCAGUGGCAUCGCCGGGUAGCUAUGUUCGGAAGAGAUAACCGCUGAAAGCAUCUAAGCGGGAAACUCGCCUUAAGAUGAGAUAUCCCUGGAGGCUAGACCUCCUUGAAGGGUCGUUCGAGACCAGGACGUUGAUAGGUCAGGUGUGUAAGCGCAGUAAUGCGUUCAGCUAACUGAUACUAAUUGCCCGUAAGGCUUGAUCCUAUAACA